rnacentral:misc_RNA from 1 species
UAAAAUAAUGAUGGCAUACUCAUUGAGCUUGGUCGUUUGCGGUUUAAGCUGUCUGUAAAUCGACUGCUCUAUGAGAUAGCCUCCCAUCAACCUCUGUGCACUGUAAUUGUAUCGGGUCUAAGUAAAGCUGUGAUCUCUUGAGGUCAUAGUGAAGCGUAGGCCCAAAAACGGUUUCGACCGUAUAAACAACUUUUAAUUUUGACUGACUUUUGUUUCUAACGAAUCAAAAA